rnacentral:lncRNA from 15 species
AUGACCACACACACUCAUACAGGCUCACUCAGUUGCCUCAUACACAGGUCGAAUAUUUACGUGUGUUUCAGGUGCAACUGAACUCUGAGCCCAGGGCUGUCAUGAUGUCAGCUGUUUUGUGCGGCUUUUCAGGAUGGUGUAGAGCAAUACAAGCUAACGUUGGAGCAACAGAAGCUAGCCAAGAAGUGUGGAAGGACUUCGGCUCCAUUGCGCUAACCAGCACAGUACAGUAUGUUCUGUAUAGUCUUACUGUGCCUCCAGGUAGUCUACAGCUAUUAUAAAAGUCUGUUUUUCUUUCUUUUCUCUUAAAGUUCAUAACAGCUAAUUGUAUAGCUUGCUAGCAGUGGCUAUGUUCAAUUAUGUUGUACUUAAGUGCUGUGAAAAGACUUACAUAUCAUACUGUAUUACAUUAAAUCCCAGCAGGUAAAAGGUUAAACAUUUGUCUGUUCAACACCACAUACAGUACAUACAAUCACAUGUACACGUAUGUCGCGUUGGCAGCUUCCUACAUUUUGAGCUCAGCGGGUCCACUUAUCCAUCUGUCACUCCUUCCUUAUCUACGUCCCCUUACUGGGAAGAUCCCCAUGUGGAAUAGUCCUCUACCAUUGCAGGUUUCCGGUUCACAUUCAUCGCUGUCGGUGGGUUGGUGAUGCUGUCAACUCGCCGGUCGAUGAAUGACAACCGUGUCCAUGCAUUGCCACGCUUCCUGAAGCGCUAUCUUGAUCAUCUGUGUUUGCAUCUGUCCAGUAAACGGGUUGUCUGUAAAAUAAUUGUGCUUUUUCUGAUAGGAACUGUAUUAUCAAAGAGAUAAAGACAUAAAUAAAGAUGUUGGAUCAUCAUCAAAUUGCAGUGUACUGUGUGUUAUGAACCAAUUUAACAUCUGUAAUUUCUAUAUCAAAGCUACUGAAGAGGGUAUAGAGAAAUGUGUGAGAAUCAGAACAAUGCUCACAAGCAGUGAAAAAAUGUGAUAACCAGAGGCUGGAGAGAAAAAACCCAGUAAAACCUGACAGAAAAGAAAUGAUACAAGGAGACAGUGGAGGAGGGAGAGAUGUUUGGUGGAGGAAAAAAAAAGAAAAACACAUUAGGAGAACCGGAUGAUUGGAGAUGACAUAAGGCAACAUGACUCCAAGUUGUGGAUGUGUGUAUAUGUGUGUGUGUGUGAGUGUGUGUGAGUGAGUGUAUUGCCUCCAGGCUCUGUAACAAGGUCACUGAGUUAGAUGCCUUUACACGCUACAUGUGAAGCCACUAUUCAACUACAAAGGAAGAACUGCCAUGAACCUUAGUCAGGAUCAGAAGAGUGGGCAAGUGUAAGACAUUAGUCCUGGUUAACUAGUGCAGAGCUGUAACACACUGAAAUGUAUGGAAGCCCAUUUCUGCCAAUGUGACAAAAAAAGAAAAAGAUGCUGUAAGUCAUUAUAAUGACAAACCUUAAAAAAAUUUGACUUAGAAUCUCAAAAUAAUGAGAAACUUAUCAAUAUUUUGAAUUAGUAUUGACUUAGUAUCACAAAGUCAUUAUUUUGAGAAUCUUCACUUUGUCGGAAAUAGGCUUCUAUAAAAAUAAAUAAAUAAAAAUAAAAAUAUUACUUAUCUAUUCUCAUGUCCUGUCUCACUGAAAUGUUGCUUUUUGUGAUUAUGGUAGAUGUAAAUCCAGAUUUUGCUGACUUAUCAUGUACAUUUUAACUAAGUGGCGAUUUAGGCAUCCCUAUAUUAAAAAAGGGUUACACAACCAAUGUUGUGUAACAGAUUACUUUAAUAACAUUACAUUUGUCAGUAACAUAGUAAUGUAACAUGUUGCUGUUCCUAAAUUCAAUAAUCACAUUACAGUUAUUAAUCAAACAAUUAUGUUGUUACUUGUGUUACAUAAGUUCUUCAUUCUCUGCCAGGG